GAUUUUCCAACUCCAGCAGCGACACACCAUCAGAAGCAGCUAGACCCCUCAUUUUUUUCUGAAAUUGGUAUCACCCACCUUAUCUUCGGAUCCUACCAUGGUAAAGCCUUUUCUAGGCAGAGACUGUUAAAGAAGUAUCAAAUCUUGUUUGGAUGCAUUUGAAAGGCUCCCCUUUUUUCUAUCAAAGGGAGUGAGCCUCCCUUCUCUCAAGUUGAAGCCAUCUGCUCGUUGCUUCAGCAUUACCUGUGCGAAGCGUGAAGAAUGGUCAACCUAGGAUUUACUUUCUUCUACUCGAAAAUUGCCUCAGUCGGCAACAGCAACCAUGGCUUCAAGUUCCUGCCCUGAUCUUCACUUCUUGACAUUUUCUUCCUUCUUCAUCCAUUCCGUUGGGAUUUUGUCACUUAUUUAGUUUUUCGGAGAGGUCAAUCGGUUGAUUCCAAUCGAAAUUAUAAUGGAGGUUCUGUUCGCUGGUCUUUUCUUGUUUCUGGAUCUGUUUAAGCAUACUCAACGUUUAACUUUUGGUAUAGUAAUAUUGAAGGCAAUAACUUGCUCAUUUGAGGUCCAUUCUUAUCCUUUUCCUAUCUAUAAAUUAUCUUUUAGUUUCAUGUAUGCAAUUUCAUGGUGAUACUACUUUGUUGAUUAAUUUUGUGAUUGCUCCGUUUGAGUUUUAGUCUCUGUUAUUGAAAACAUUUUUAUCAAACAAAUAUUUUUGAUUCAGUUCCUUCGUUUGGCUGAUGAUACCUUUUUGGUAAUUACUUGUUAAGUAAAUUAAAAAAAGGGAAGUACAGGC
rnacentral:lncRNA from 1 species